rnacentral:rRNA from 1 species
AUUGAACGCUGGCGGCAGGCUUAACACAUGCAAGUCGAGCGGAGAUGAGGUGCUUGCACCUUAUCUUAGCGGCGGACGGGUGAGUAAUGCUUAGGAAUCUGCCUAUUAGUGGGGGACAACAUUCCGAAAGGAAUGCUAAUACCGCAUACGUCCUACGGGAGAAAGCAGGGGAUCUUCGGACCUUGCGCUAAUAGAUGAGCCUAAGUCGGAUUAGCUAGUUGGCGGGGUAAAGGCCUACCAAGGCGACGAUCUGUAGCGGGUCUGAGAGGAUGAGCCGCCGCACUGGGACUGAAGCACGGCCCAGACUCCUACGGGAGGCAGCAGUGGGGAAUAUUGGACAAUGGGGGGAACCCUGAUCCAGCCAUGCCGCGUGUGGGAAGAAGGCCUUAUGGUUGUAAAGCACUUUAAGCGAGGAGGAGGCUACUGAGACUAAUACUCUUGGAUAGUGGACGUUACUCGCAGAAUAAGCACCGGCUAACUCUGUGCCAGCCGCCGCCGUAAUAC